GACGAACGCUGGCGGCGUGCUUAACACAUGCAAGUCGAACGCUGAAGCACCAGCUUGCUGGUGUGGAUGAGUGGCGAACGGGUGAGUAAUACGUGAGUAACCUGCCCUUGACUCUGGGAUAAGCCCGGGAAACUGGGUCUAAUACUGGAUGCUACAUGUCACCGCAUGGUGGUGUGUGGAAAGGGUUUACUGGUCUUGGAUGGGCUCACGGCCUAUCAGCUUGUUGGCGAGGUAAUGGCUCACCAAGGCGACGACGGGUAGCCGGCCUGAGAGGGUGACCGGCCACACUGGGACUGAGACACGGCCCAGACUCCUACGGGGGGAAGCAGUGGGGAAUAUUGCACAAUGGGCGAAAGCCUGAUGCAGCGACGCCGCGUGAGGGAUGACGGCCUUCGGGUUGAAAGCCUCUUUCAGCAGGGAAGAAGCGACAAGUGACGGUACCUGCAGAAGAAGCGCCGGCUAACUACGUG
rnacentral:rRNA from 1 species